AUUGAACGCUGGCGGCAGGCCUAACACAUGCAAGUCGAGCGAGAGGCGGACGGGUGAGUAAUGUAUGGGGAUCUGCCCGAUCGAGGGGGAUAACGACUGGAAACGGUGGCUAAUACCGCAUUCUAUCGGAUGACCCCAUAUGGGAUUAGCUAGUAGGUGGGGUAAAGGCUCACCUAGGCGACGAUCUCUAGCUGGUCUGAGAGGAUGACCAGCCAAACUGUGACGGAGACACGGCCCAGACUCCUACGGGAGGCAGCAGUGGGGAAUAUUGCACAAUGGGCGCAAGCCGGAUGCAGCAAUGCCGCGUGUAUGAAGAAGGCCUUAGGGUUGUAAAGUACUUUCAGCGGGGAGGCGUUACCCGCAGAAGAAGCACCGGCUAAAUACGUGCCAGCCGCCGCGGUAAUUC
rnacentral:rRNA from 1 species